UUAUAUUGUUUGGAGAAAAAAAUGUUGAACAAAUCGAGAGAGUGCGAGUCCUCUUCUCCUCCCUCUAUCCUCGCUAUCUCCAAUCUACUCCUCCACCGUCUCCGCCGUUAUGGCUGAACCGUCCCCAUCCUCCUCUCCUCAAUAUCCUCCUCCACCUCCCAAACCCUAAAUCACCUCCAAUAGCCCCUCCAAAACCUCUUCGCUUCCCCAGAUCUUGCAGAUGAUAUGUGGCUACGAGAGAAUAGCGAGAAGCUAUGGUUGUGACUGAAUUUCGUUUUUUUGGAGAGAUUUCGAUUCUGAAUUUAUUUGGUGAUUUUUUCUCGUUAAGAGCAAAGAGUUGUUGGAUUGAAGAAACGGAUCAAGGUUUUACAAUCGGAAGUUGAAGCAGCAAAUUCAGAAUUGAGGCAAGGAUUGGUCUUCUUCAGCUUGAAGUUUCUACUAUUGGCAAUGAGAUUGAUGCUCUUAAGAACAAGGAAAGAUUACUCAGGUGAGAUCAGUUUAUAAGCCAAAUGGAAGAGCUGAACAAGGAAAUAAGGUUGACUUAGAUUCUCCUGUCUUUUUAAUGUUUCUGCUGAUGCAACACAUAUAAGUUGCUUGGUUUGGGUAAUAGGGACUUUUAGAAAACAGUAGAAUCGAGUUUGAGUAAUGAUGAUAGUACUGCCAUAAUAGCAAGUGAGUAGCUAAAGUUAACAGUUUACUCUUCUUGUCUGAUUUUUCACUGUUUAUCAAGAGCUUUCGACUCCCGUUGCUGAUUGCGGCGACUAUGACGAUGGUUCUUCUUCGAAGCCUUCUCUCUUCGGCUUUGUUUAUUAUGCAGGUUGCCAUUACAAAGGUAACUUUAAAUAUUUUUGUAUGCUUUGUUUUUUUCAGGUUCAUCCAUCUCAAUGUAGCUACUUGGCACACGAACUCAUUGUUUGGUAUCAGGGACAAGACGCUUCAAUGCUGCUUCCUUUCUCAUAUGUUGUGGUCUCGGGUGCUAUAGGAUCAUGUUCGAAUUAUUUGCCAAGUCACUGUGAGAUGCUCUGUGACUUAAUUUAUUUUUCUCAUUGUCACAUCGGCUUAAUCUAUUUUGUCACAUAGCCAUUGGAGCAAUAUUCUCUGCUACAGACUCUGUUUGCAACUUGCAAGCACUCUACUGGUCAUGAAGUUGUACAUAUUUAUGCUAUAGUAUGCAUCUGCAUAAAUGUUCAUGGCCUGAAUACAUACUUUUUGGUUACCAUUCAUCCUGCCAUUCUUGUCAUCUUGGUUGGAACCAAACUAGAGCACCUUGUCUCGAAGCUUGCUCUCGAGGUUAAGGAGCAGCAGACAUGCACAACUAUUGGGGCUCAAGUCAAACCACGUGACAGACUCUUCUGGUUUGGGAAACUAUCUUUUUUAAAUGUAUUUAUAUAUCUUCUAUUUGUAAGUAGUUUUUAACUCUCUGUUUGAGAGUUUAAAACUUAUCUUUUCUGAGUGUAUGAUAUUAAACUAAGUUUAACAUUAAUUGUAAUUGUGUAUGUUUUGCAAUUUAAUUUUUAACAUAUAUUCACAUAA